GCCCGGCUGGCUCAGUUGGUAGAGCAUGUGACUCUUGAUCUCGUGAGUUCAAGCCCCAUGUUGGGCA
rnacentral:tRNA from 1 species